rnacentral:rRNA from 1 species
AGAGUUUGAUCCUGGCUCAGGAUGAACGCUGGCGGCGUGCUUAACACAUGCAAGUCGAACGAAGCACUUUACUUGAUUUCCUUCGGGACUGAUUAUUUUGUGACUGAGUGGCGGACGGGUGAGUAACGCGUGGGUAACCUGCCUUGUACAGGGGGAUAACAGUUGGAAACGGCUGCCAAUACCGCAUAGGCGCACAGCAUCGCAUGAUGCAGUGUGAAAAACUCCGGUGGUAUAAGAUGGACCCGCGUUGGAUUAGCUAGUUGGUGAGGUAACGGCCCACCAAGGCGACGAUCCAUAGCCGACCUGAGAGGGUGACCGGCCACAUUGGGACUGAGACACGGCCCAAACUCCUACGGGAGGCAGCAGUGGGGAAUAUUGCACAAUGGGCGAAAGCCUGAUGCAGCGACGCCGCGUGAGCGAAGAAGUAUUUCGGUAUGUAAAGCUCUAUCAGCAGGGAAGAUAAUGACGGUACCUGACUAAGAAGCACCGGCUAAAUACGUGCCAGCAGCCGCGGUAAUACGUAUGGUGCAAGCGUUAUCCGGAUUUACUGGGUGUAAAGGGAGCGCAGGCGGUGCGGCAAGUCUGAUGUGAAAGCCCGGGGCUCAACCCCGGUACUGCAUUGGAAACUGUCGUACUAGAGUGUCGGAGGGGUAAGCGGAAUUCCUAGUGUAGCGGUGAAAUGCGUAGAUAUUAGGAGGAACACCAGUGGCGAAGGCGGCUUACUGGACGAUAACUGACGCUGAGGCUCGAAAGCGUGGGGAGCAAACAGGAUUAGAUACCCUGGUAGUCCACGCCGUAAACGAUGGAUGCUCGCUGUUUGCGUCUGACGUAAGCGGCCAAGCGAAAGCGUUAAGCAUCCCACCUGGGGAGUACGCCGGCAACGGUGAAACUCAAAGGAAUUGACGGGGGCCCGCACAAGCGGAGGAGCAUGUGGUUUAAUUCGAUGAUACGCGAGGAACCUUACCCGGGCUUGAACUGUAGGCGAACGAUUCAGAGAUGAAGAGGCCCUUCGGGGCGCCUAUGGAGGUGCUGCAUGGUUGUCGUCAGCUCGUGCCGUGAGGUGUCGGCUUAAGUGCCAUAACGAGCGCAACCCUUGUUCGUAGUUGCCAUCGGUUAAAGCCGGGCACUCUGCGAAGACUGCCUCCGUAAGGAGUGAGGAAGGUGGGGAUGACGUCAAAUCAGCACGGCCCUUACGUCCGGGGCUACACACGUGUUACAAUGGCAUGUACAGAAAGCUGGGUGUACGCAAAUACGCUCGAAUCCCUAAAACAUGUCUCAGUUCGGACUGGGGUCUGCAACCCGACCCCACGAAGCUGGAUUCGCUAGUAAUCGCGCAUCAGCCAUGGCGCGGUGAAUACGUUCCCGGGCCUUGUACACACCGCCCGUCAAGCCAUGAAAGCCGGGGGCGCCUAAAGUCCGUGACCGCGAGGGUCGGCCUAGGGUGAAACCGGUGAUUGGGGCUAAGUCGUAACAAGGUA